rnacentral:rRNA from 1 species
GUUGGUGAGGUAACGGCUCACCUAGGCAAUGAUAGGUAGGCGGCCUUAACGGGUGGUCGCCCACACUGGGAUUGAGAUACGGCCCAGACUCCUACGGGAGGCAGCAGUCGAGAAUAGUCUACAAUGGUCGGAAGACUGAUAGUGCGACGCCGCGUGAACGAUGAAUCCCUUCGGGGUGUAAAGUUCUUUUAUAUGUGAGCAGUGCUUCUUAUAUUAAGAGUAUGGGGAGAGAGAUAUUAGCAUAUGAAUAAGCAACGGCUAACUCCGUGCCAGCAGCCGCGGUAACACGGGGGUUGCGAGCGUUGUCCGGAAUUACUAGGCGUAAAGGGCAGGCAGGCGGAUCCAUAAGUUUAUCGUUUAAGGCGUCGGCUUAACCGGCGUAGGGCGGUAGAUACUGUGGAUCUGGAAUGCGGUUGGGGAAGACAGAAUUCCUGGUGUAGCGGUGGAAUGCGCAGAGAUCAGGAGGAAUACCGAAGGCGAAGGCAGUCUUCCAAGCCGUUAUUGACGCUCAACUGCGAAGGUGUGGGUAUCAAACAGGAUUAGAUACCCUGGUAGCCCACACAGUAAACGAUAAUCACUGGGUGUCGGGUUCGCAUAGGAUUCGGU